CCCUCCCUCCCCCCAAGACCGUUAGGAGGAAGGAGCUAAGGCGCAUGCGCGUUGCCUGCCCAUCCAGCGCGAGAGAGUGAGAGGGAGUAGUUCAACAGGUGCCGCUCUCCAAAGCCAGCUCUGUGGGCCCUUCCACACAGCCAUAUAACUCAGAUUAUCCAGGCAGAAAAUCCCACAAUAUCUGCUUUGAACUGGAAUAUAUGGCAGUGUAGACUCAGAUAACCUAGGGCCCAUACACACAGCCUUACAACCCAGAAUAUCAAGGCAGAAAAUCCCGCCAUAUCUGCUUUGAAUUUGGUUAUCUCAGUCCAUACUGACAUAUUACUUACUUAGGCCAUCCUUCCUAGCUCGAGGAUGAUGGUCCUCCAUGUGUAGUGUCUUAGUGGUGGAUGCGCAGGUGGCUGUGGAGACCUAUUCUUACUAUAAUAUAUUUUAAUAUAAUAAUUAUUUAUUACAUGUAAUAUUACAGCAUAGGAGCCCCGGUGGCGAAGUGUGUUAAAGCACUGAGCUGCUGAACUUGCAGACUGAAAGGUCGCAGGUUCAAAUCCCGGGAGUAGAGUGAGCGCCUGCUAUUAGCUCCUGCUUCUGCCAACCUAGCAGUUUGAAAACAUGCCAAUGUGAGUAGAUCAAUAGGUACCACUUCGGCGGGAAGUUAACGGCGCUCCAUGCAGUCAUGCGGCCACAUGACCUUGGAGGUGUCUACGGACAACGCCGGCUCUUUGGCUUACAAAUGGAGAUGAGCACCAACCCCCAGAGUCAGACAUGACUGGACUCAACGUCAGGUCAUUCCACAAUUUCAGAACAGCUGAAAAGAAAAUCCUCUGGCCAACAGGUAUCCACCUAAUCCUGUCUGACUGGAGUAAAGGUCCCCCAGAAGAAUGGAGUGUACAGAUCCUGCAGGACAGCACCCCCCACCAGACUACUGCAUCUGUGUGGAUUAUCCAUGACUACAGCUGCUGCUACUGGGGGACCUUCGGCAUGCAAUGUCAGGACUUGUGAAGGUUAAUUGUGGAAAUGAACUCACAGAUUCCUACCCACAACAUUGCUAGAAUAAUCCUCUCUCUAUUAGCAUUGACAAUGCAUCCAAUUUUGAUGACAUGUCUAACUUUUACUCUUGGAACUCUCCAAAUCAGGAAAUGUUUGCUGCAAAGUUCUUUCAUGAGGUUAAAGAAAGUGUUUACUCAUUAUGUGCUAUUGUGAUAGGACUAGGACAGGGACAACACAUUCUUUUUCAACCUGUUGCCCUCUAGGCCUGUUACUACCACAUCCUCAGAUGGCAUGAUAAGUGCCAAUUGGGUAUGAGAGGAGCUGUAGUCCAAAAGAGCACCAAGCCUGAUCUACUUGCAGUCCCCAAAGGGCAAAGCUGACCAUCAUUCAUUCAGUAGGAGGCUUCAUGAAAGAGUUGUUAUUGCUGUUGUUGUCUUGAGUGUGGGUUCGUAUACAUAAAUGACAGGCCCGGUUUUAGACUACAAAAACUAUGUCUUCUUUCCUGGCAUGCCUGCUUUAUUAAAUAAAUGACAGCUUAAGACUGCUCACACUAAAGAAUUAAUAGAUCAUAAUAAGCUUAACAGCAGCAUCUUGCUAAUUUACCUUGGAAGCCCCAUCCCAAGCAACUGAACUGUGCAAAUUAGUAAGGAAGCACAUAAGCUGGGAUAACGACACACUGUGCUCAUUUGGCUCAUUUUGGGGGAAGAGGUCUCUGAAAGCAUUCCACAGCAUAUACUACAAUGUUAGAGAGCUCAUGGAGGGCAUUCCUGCCCCAGCCCUCACUGUGAUGUGAAAAGUGCAACACAACAGUGCUCUCGACAUGCAAAUUGAAGGAUAUGCACAGAAACCACACUCCGGCAAGUUCAGUCCACAUUUCUACUUAUAUCUCCUAUAUUCACUUUGAAUAGCGAGCCUGUAUGUGUGGAUUUUUAAAAAGGCAAGCACUGACACAUCCUUUCCCCAGCCUCUAUCCCAGUUUUUCUUGCAUGAGCUCCCCAUGCACUUCAAGCAAAUGCUUAGUCACCGAAGGCAGGAAAGCCACAAAAAUGCCUAUAAAUUGAAGAGUUAUUCACUCUUUCAAAUCAGCAGGAAGAGGCCUUUUAUUCAGACCAUCCAUAUAGCUGUAGGAAAAGGGAACAAAGAAGGAAAUUAGUGUUUGCUCUGACAUAAUCUCACCUCUUACCAGGGAAGUUGCUUCUGAAAUACUCAAGAGAUUACCAACUGAGGAUUCAGGACAACUCUCAGAGAGGGCAGUUACCUGCCCAAGGAGGAUGUGCCAACAGUUAACCCUGUUCCAGAACCUGGGCAUUUGAUGUUAUAGCAGGAGGGGGAAGGAGUCCUAUGACAUACACUCUUCUCUAUGUUUAAUCAUCAAGAAUGCAUGAGGAUGUAAUUGAUCACUCCAGUUAAGUAAUACAACCAUGGUUUCAAUUUCUAGAUUAUACUAAAAGCAGGGACACAUUUCUAGGCAAGGAAAAGAGAUCCUGCAGGACUAGGAAGCUCUUGCACCUGCCGUGGGAAACCCUGCUACUUAGUAUGGGCAUUAACACUUACCGUAAAUAUUUAGUUCACAUGCUCACACAUAUACACCCUACAGGUGUUAAAUAUGGAAAGGAUGAGAGUUUGGAGAAUGUUUGAGGUACAUAAAUAUAAACAGGAGGGACCUACAUAAUAUCAAGACUUAGACAGAUAUUUAGAGCCACAGGCUGCAGUCUUGAACACAGCGAGACAGCCUAAAUCCCAUUAGCUUCAGUAGGUUAACCCAUUAACAGAACUGAAGCCACAGUGUGUUCUUCACAGUACGAACAAGAGAGGAUAAAGAACAGGAUGCUUCUCAGCUUUGCCUUCCUUUGGCCAUUCUAAACAAAGUUAUUUCGCUAGUCCUUUGCAUUUGCUUUGAAUUUCCCAACUGAGGAUAUCCAGUUUCAACAAAAAUUUUGCCACAGAAUAGUCUCCGCUUCCAAAUUAAUAAAGGAGAUGAAAAGGAAGAGAAGUAUUGGUUUCAGUGACUUGCCCAAAGUAAUGAACAGACACAAAUUUUUCUUGUACCCAGCCACCACCACCCACAAAAGAAAAAGCUCAUUCAAACAAGUGAGCACUGUGCACUUUUAGGCAAUGCUCACUUCCCCACUUUCCCACCUUCCCAACUCCAAGUUUGGUUUGCCCAGGAAAAGCUCCAAACUGAGUGAAUAGAGCAUGUCCCAAGCAAACCUACAGAAAGGAGCAAGGGUUCACAAUCAUCUGCUGGACAAAAACAAUGUUUAAGCUACACAGAAUUCUUACACAUCAAGGAUAUUCAAGCCCCAAACAGGAUGUGACUCAAAAAUACUUUAACUGCCACAAAAUUAAACAUACAAGAUGUAAGUACUGAUCAAGUAUAGGGAGAAAGUUUAAGCUCCCUGGUACAAAUGCUUUAAAGAUAGACUUUCCGUUCUACAGUAUUAUAACGAGAACUUUAGCACAGCCUGCAACCAAUUUUCAUCAGGAGGUACAAUUCAGUUUCCAGAUGCUGUGGUUUUAGAGCAUUCUGGGUGUGCCUCUUCAAGCUCUAGUCCAAAUGAAGUUGCUCUGAUCUUCAGCCAACAUGACCAUCUCUUACCUUCUCCCCAUCCUCCUGGGAAAACAAGUCUUCAGAGCAUGGGGGCAAGUUCUCCUUCUGUUCAUAGCUGUCUUCACUUUCAUUGGCUUCAAUCUCACUCUACAGAAUGACAAAGCACUUGAGCAUUUGUAUAUUUUAGUCCAUAAAGAAAGGUCUGCCUGAAUCUUUUUGAGGAAAUUGUACUAGCAUUUAAGAAGGAAGGAAUAUAGUGUACAGCACGGAUACACCCUUUGUGCCACACCCGAUCCGAAAUUAGAAAUCACUAGACAGGAUCCAUGGGUAUACAAGAUACCCCUCAUAUCUACAGGUGAUAUUAUCCUGGACUUAACAUGGAAAUGUGAAAUCACAGUCGGAUAACUGAAAUUGUGGUCCCAUCCAUGGCCAUCCUGUAUUUCUACUAUAUCCCACUACUUCUGCAACAAUUAGAUAUUCCACCCCUCCUGAGACAGCAAAAUAAAUUGGUGGAGAUUGGCCACUGUCUGCCACAAAUAUUACAGCUUGUUAAUACUAUUACUUAAUCAUGUCUUAUAAUAAUAAUAAUUAUUAUUGCGGUGGCACAAUGGGUUAAAUCCUUGUGCCAGUAGGACUGCUAGACCAACAGGUCGGCAGUUCAAAUCCGGGGAGAGCGGGUGAGCUCCCUCUGUCAGCUCCAGCUCCCCAUGCAGGACAUGAGAGAAGCCUCCACAAGGAUGGUAAAACAUCAAACAUCAGGGUGUCCCCUGGGCAAUGUCCUUGCAGACAGCCAAUUCUUUCACACCAGAAGCGACGUCAAAAAAAAUCCCACAAUAUCCACUACAUGUGCUGUUUUACCUGUACUGGCUAGAGUUAAUAGGAGGUGUAGCCCAAUUGCUUCUGGAGGGCCACAGUUUUGGCUUAUGGGGUACUUUUCCAUGAGGAAAAGUUUUUAAAAAAUUAUAGAAACAAGACAGACUAAAAAGAAGACUGUCUCAAAUUAGCACUAUCAAAAAGAUGCCCAUUACAAUAAUAUAACAAGAUCAAGACAUAUUGUUCAGGAAAGUGAGAUUUGGAAAUUAGAAAAAUAAUCUCUACAGUUGCUAUACUUUGCGGUCUGAGUAAUGGAGACAAUUACGUAGGCCACAAAGUAAUAGAGACAAUUACUCAGACUCAUUCUGAGCAAAAUCUAUCUACAAGUUGACUGUGGAUGUCUUGGAUUAAUAUCCAUAGAGUCCACUAAGUGCUCUCCACACCCACAGUUAUGAAAAAGUUCUCCCCAAAAGGAAAUACAUUUAUCUUUUCUGUCUCCAAAGUUCUUUAUGAGAAGCAAAGAGGAAGGCCGAAUCCUGGCAAGUUAUACACCGAUUAUGUGGAUGGAGCAUGUAACUCAGCAAAGAAAAACCUACAGCCUUAGUGGCCACUGCAUGGAAACCACAAGACCCAAGUAACAUCCUUUAAAAACCUAGCCGGGUUUUUAUUUAACUAUGUUUUAUUGUAAAUGUGAUUUCAAUAUGUCUUAUUGAUUUGUUCUUAUUGUUGUAUUUUUAUAUUGUCUGUAUCUACCUGGGCAUGGCCCCAUGUAAGCUGCCCCAAGUCCCUUCGGGGAGAUGGAGGCGGGGUAUAAGAAGUUGUUGUUGUUGUUGUUGUUGUUGUUAUUAUUAUUAGAGUUCAUACCAGCAAGGGAGUUCAGUUCCUAGAUGCACAAAACAGGUAGGCUUUAAACUCAAUAGCUCUUAGUCAUUAAGGCUACUUUGUCAAAAGUGCCUUAUUCUUUAUCAUCUGAAGCAGUUAAGUCUCCAGAGCUGUAAACUGACUCUGCACAGAAACCGUUACUAAUGGCCUUCACAGAACAGACAUGAACUCUGACCCAAACCAGCUGUUCAUAAGGAUUUAUUACACAUUAGCAUUGUAGUCGCUAAAUGAGCAUGGAACCCUUCAGCCGGAAGCACCAAGGCUCCCUCCUCCCCAUGCAUCUGCUUUCGUCCUUUUCACAUGAAUUUCUUCUAUCACAUGAAGCCUGUUUAAGAUAGAACCCUUAACUGUGCCACAUUUAAUAUAGCUACAGCUCUCAGAAUGCAAUUGAAGAGUUGUCAUCUAAUACAGUCACAACUCCAAGCUCUAGCCUGGAACGACAUGGGAAUUGGGGAGGGAAGGAACUGUGGAAAAGUAGCCUCGCACUGAUGAUGUGUCAAAUACAGUAGAGUCUCAAUUAUCCAAGCCUCGCUUAUCCAAGCCUCUGGAUUAUCCAAGCCAUUUUUGUAGUCAAUGUUUUCAAUAUAUUGUGAUAUUUUGAUGCUAAAUUCAUAAAUACAGUAAUUACAACAUAA